rnacentral:rRNA from 1 species
UACGUAGGGUGCAAGCGUUGUCCGGAAUUAUUGGGCGUAAAGAGCUCGUAGGCGGUCUGUCGCGUCGGCUGUGAAAACCCGGGGCUCAACCCCGGGCCUGCAGUCGAUACGGGCAGACUAGAGUGCGGUAGAGGAGACUGGAAUUCCUGGUGUAGCGGUGAAAUGCGCAGAUAUCAGGAGGAACACCGGUGGCGAAAGCGGGUCUCUGGGCCGUAACUGACGCUGAGGAGCGAAAGCGUGGGGAGCGAACAGG